rnacentral:rRNA from 1 species
UGGAUAAAAGUAGUUUUUUAGGACAUACCAUGAUAGCAGAAGUGGGUGGGUAGUUCUUAUAUAAGGUUAUAUACCUUUUGUAUCAGGGCUAAACUAUAAGACUCUUUGUUAAGAUUGCCCGAGACAGGAAGAUCUAAGUUUUCCGGCUUAUUGGAGUGUGAAUCCCUGUGUAGCACAAUAGGAGUCACAGGAAAACUUAGGGGCGAAAAACCUUCAAUUCCUGAGAUAUCUGGAUCUUAGGUAAACGUAUUUAGUACGGUAGACAGGCUAAAAGUGUUGAGAUUUUUAGUGGGGAGAGACUUUAUAAAGGAACGGUAUGGAUGGGCUAAUUCCCCAUUGUUGUUUGGUAAAAUAUUAUGAGGUUUUCUUUGUUCCUCUAUUAAACCUAUCUACACUUCGAAAUGCGGCGAAGUUUAUAUAAUGUUUAGAUGAGUAUUACACUCAAACUCCCAGAAGGAACUCGGCAAAUUUGCGCCCUCAGCUGUUUAUCAAAAACAUAGCCUUGUGGAACAUUCAAGGCAAGCCCUGCCCGGUGAUAUAUUUAAACGGCCGCAGUACCCUGACUGUGCUAAGGUAGCGUAAUCAGUUGUCUUUUAAUUGGGGACUUGUAUGAAUGGGCCCAUGGGGGCCUACUGUCUCCUGGGUGCUUUUCAGAAAUUGACAGAAGGGUGAAAACUCCCUUAAAAAGAUAAAAGACGAGAAGACCCUAAGAACCUCAGAUACUACGACCACUCGUCGCAAGCUUUUGUUGGGGCGACAACGGAGCACAAAGCCUACAAACCUCCGGCACUACUGGCUAACCCGCCGACACUGGUAUGAGAGAUUAGGUUACCUUAGGGAUAACAGCAUAAUUAUUAAUAGUUUGUGACCUCGAUGUUGGAUCUAGGGAUAACAGCAUAAUUAUUAAUAGUUUGUGACCUCGAUGUUGGACUAGGGACCUUUAGGAUUAGAAGUCCAAGAGGCAAGUUCUGUUCGAACUACACCAAUCCCUACAUGAUCUGAGUUCAGACCGGCGCAAGCCAGGUCAGUUUCUAUCUUUUACUUAGUUUGCACCAGUACGAAAGGACCGCGCUUACGGAAACUAUUCUA